rnacentral:lncRNA from 1 species
CUGAGGAGGAGUCUCCUCAGAGGAAUUGUGGGGUCUGGUCAAGGGCUGUCACUCUUCCUUUUUCAUUUCAGCAUCACCAACCACAGCCCCAGCUACAGCCCAAUCCAGGGCCACGGCCGUACUCCCAUCGCCUGUAUGCUCCUGGUGAUCCUCACCUGCUCCAUUCUCCUUGGCGUCCUAGGAUGUAUCUUUACAGUAAUAGGCUAACGAUGCUCCCAAGAAGGCCCUGAGGGUGUGGUCUAUGCCAGGGACUCUGCCUUCUGGUUGGCCUCCUUUGGAUCACCUGCUGUUCUUUUCUAGACCACCAGGAGUUCAGACCUUACAAAUGCAGAGACCGCCUUCAGAUCACGGCAAUCACACUCUUUUCUAUAAAUCACUGUCAUUCUUAAAGCCAGAUCUGGACAACGAUGGUGUGAGGUUCAAGGUGAGGUCAAUGGAAACAAGUUUCUCUAUUUCUCUACUAUCACUGUGGUAGCGAGAAGGUCACACCCAUUGGUCCUCUGGGCAUGAAGGUGAAUGCCACAGACACCUGGGAGAGACAGUCAGAAACUCUGACAGACCUGGUGGAAGAGCUCAAAAGGAAACUGCUUGACAUUAAGCCACAGAUUUCCACAACCAGCGCAUCACCACCCACAGGCCCAGGUACAACCCAUUCCAGGGCCGUGGCCAUCACUCCUGUCACCUGGAUCUUCCUGGUGCCCCUCACCUUCUCUGUUCUCCUUGGCAUCCUAGGCUGAGUCCAUCUCGUAACAGAGGCUGGAGUUGCUACCAAGAAGCCCCUGGGCGUCUGCCCUCGUUCCUCCACUCUCCCUUCUGGUUGGCGGCCUUGCCAUCACCUGCUCUUCCUCUCUCCACCACCAGGAGUUUCAGCCCCUACAGCAAAGGCAGAGGCCCCAGGAGUCCUGAUGACCAGGGAGAUGCAGCUUUGCCUUCCCUUUAUGCGCUUGGCUGAUAAUCUGCUUGACACUUUUUCUAAGCAUCGGGGCCAUUUCUCUCGGUGCUAAGUGUUGGGAUUCCUGCACUGAGCCUUCGAACUGCUCGAACAAGAAUCUCAACCCAGAGUCUGUUUCCACCUUCUCUCUGGUUGUGGAAAAUCAGAUGCAUCUCUAUGUCCUGACCCUGUUCUUGCACAUGAUAUUGCCAGAAAACUGUCGUGUGAGACUGCAGAACUUCCGGGAUUCUUUAUGUGUCCUGAGAAACAGCUUUGUGUGUUUUCAACAGAACAAGAUUAUAUUUAUGAUUGUUUCCUUUCAUAAUUUAUUGUCUUGCCACGG